AACGCACGGAGUGAUCCCUCUCCUCCCACGUAGACGAUCUUUGGAGGCAGCCGCUCCGCGGACACGUCGGCCCGGAUACUCUGCCUGGAAACACCGCAAACUAAUCUGAACCGGCGGCCGACAGAGACGGACGAGUCUCGCAGGAUACGAGCGGGUCGACUAGGUGUGACUUGCUGUGUUGGUGACUGUGAUGAUGGGAGGAGAACAGAGCCAAGAGAGGAAGGAGAGAGAAGAGGAGACUGAAAAACAUCCAGAAUCUGCCAAUACUGACAACUCAGCAUCUUCUGCUUCUGAAGACACCCCAGGAGAGCUGCCCCAGUGCCAGAUGGGAAACAGGAAGGUGGACAACAUGUGUUUCAUGAUCUCGUGCACCAACUGGUACUAAACUGGUCCUGGUACAACAGGUUAAUUUAAAGAGUUUCCCUACGGGGAUCAAUAAAGUAUUUCUGAUUCUGAUUCUGAUUAAUGAAACAGAAGAUGUUAAUGUGAGCAAAACUGUGGGAGAAGGUGGAACAUGUGGAGUUUGACUUGUUGUCCUGUCUUCUGGGCCAGACGCUGCAUACAUGAACCCACCGAAAAUCCAAAACGAAGCUGUCGCUGUAGUCCCACAUGCUUACUGCAUUGUUCCACUGCUGCUCUUAAGAGGACUUCUUUGGAAAAUCCUGUAGUUUUAAUGACUAGUUUAGAAGAUGAGUUCUUCUAAACUAGAGAUUAAAGAGAUGAACCUCUUUAAUGCUGACUGUUGCUAGUGUGUCUUUUAAAUUAGAUAGUGUUGCUUUAGUAUAAAUACUGUAAGCAAAGAUGAUUGGCAGCUUCUGUCUGUUAAAAUAAACUCUCUGGCGUCCUCUUGCAAAGAAGUAGUUCCUACUUGUACAACCCUUUUAGAACUUGUCUACAUGCAUUUGCUUUUUAUGUUGCUUUUGAGCAGGAUUAACACGUUCGAAAUGCUCCACAUGCACUCAAAGACAAGUAGUAACAGCACUUCUGAGCUGUAAAGAAAAGUAUCUUUCUGCUGUAAAACACGAAGGCUGAUUUUCGACCAUUCUAACCCAGUAGCACACAGAAAAACAAAUAGUAUUGAAGAUGUUAUAACAGUAAAUGAUAGGCUAAUGUAUCAAAAUGUAUGUUGCUAAAAUGCUUCCUGUAAAACCAAGACAAAUGCACCAGACUCACCAGAAAUUGUGUGCUGUUGUGUGGUAUAUCCAUUUCAUAUCUGAACACUAAAUAUUAGGCUACCAGCAGCCGGUUAGCUUAGCUUAUCCAUACAAAAACAAGUGUAAAAACAAUAAAUCAAUAUUUUACGAAUUAAACAAAGAAGAUAUAACAUGUUUUAGCUUUAGAGGUGCUGGUAGUUGGAUUUCGUUAACUUAGGACUGAGCUAGGCUAGCUGUUUUCACCUAUUUCCAGUCUUCAUGCUAAGCUAAGCUGCUGGCUCCAGCUUCAUAUUUACCGUACAGAUAGAGAGUGGAAUCAAUCUGAACAUCUAACUCUCGGUAAGAAAGGGAAUAGGCCUACGUGCAUUUCCCAAAAUGUCAGACAUUUCUUUUAAGGUGUGACGGUCUGUCUUCCGACAUCAUUUAGUUCCAGAAAAUUUCUAAGAAAAGGGAAGACACCUGUAGCGUAUGGCUAACUCUUGCAGACACUGGUUCAGUGAAAGGAAUAACCCAAUGUUACGCCCAUAAUGGGCUAGGAAUAAUUUAGACCCUUUGCGUCAGUCCCCUCUGCCCUUUCAAUUAAUAAACUGACCAGGUAAAUACAUGUCAGGUAGAAGCUAUGAUCCCAUACUGACUCUCUUAGAAAUCCACUUCAGUCAUGAAAGGAAGAGGCACAAGAAGGGACAGCGAUGAAACAAAGACACAUUUAAACUAUGAGUGAAAAGAGUCAUGGACUGUAUAUAAGAUGGCAUUCCAGAAAUUAAGCAUAUAGUAUUCUUUGCCAUGUCAAUAAAGACUGUUCUAAACAUUAUUACAGCAAAAGUCAUAGAACUACUGCUGAUUACAACUGUGUAGGAAUGUGUUUCUCUUCAUGCUUUGGGAGGUUUAAGGUCACAAGUAGGCUAACAUUUUGUUUGAAUUUGAGCCAAAUCAAUUAUUUCAACAGCAAUGAAUGAAAUACAUUUUUUUUAUGUUUUUCCAUUUUUGUCUCAUUACUUCAAGAUUUAAAAUAAAGUGCACAAUUGAUUUUUACUGUUA